rnacentral:rRNA from 1 species
UACGUAGGGUCCAAGCGUUAUCCGGAAUCACUGGGCGUAAAGAGUGCGUAGGCGGGGAUUUAAGUGGGAUGCGAAAUCCAGUGGCUCAACCAUUUGGACUGUAUCUCAUACUGGGUAACUAGAGGACGGCAGAGGCAAGCGGAAUUACCGGUGUAGCAGUGAAAUGCGUAGAUAUCGGUAGGAACACCAAUGGCGAAGGCAGCUUGCUGGGCCGAACCUGACGCUAAGGCACGAAAGCGUGGGGAGCGAACAGG